GACGAACGCUGGCGGCGUGCCUAAUACAUGCAAGUCGAACGCAUUUUCUUUCACCGUAGCUUGCUACACCGAAAGAAAAUGAGUGGCGAACGGGUGAGUAACACGUUGGUAACCUGCCCAUCAGCGGGGGAUAACACUUGGAAACAGGUGCUAAUACCGCAUAAUUCCAUUUACCGCAUGGUAAAUGGAUGAAAGGCGCUUUUGCGUCACUGAUGGAUGGACCCGCGGUGCAUUAGCUAGUUGGUGGGGUAACGGCCUACCAAGUCUGCGAUGCAUAGCCGACCUGAGAGGGUGAUCGGCCACACUGGGACUGAGACACGGCCCAGACUCCUAAGGGAGGCAGCAGUAGGGAAUCUUCGGCAAUGGACGCAAGUCUGACCGAGCAACGCCGCGUGAGUGAAGAAGGUUUACGGAUCGUAAAACUCUGUUGUUAGAGAAGAACAAGGAUGAGAGUGGAAAGUUCAUCCCUUGACGGUAUCUAACCAGAAAGCCACGGCUAACUACGUG
rnacentral:rRNA from 1 species